GAUUCAAGAGCUAUAUUUUAUUAAUCUCCAUGAACAGGAUGACUAAGAGCAGCAUAUUAUGCCUUAAUAUCUAAAACACAGAAAUGGAAAUGACUCUAAUGACCAUUACAGUAAGUCACGCUUUGCUGGGGCAUGCUCCAUGAAGCUUUUUAUUUUUUUUUAUUACUGCUUUCCAUUAAAGAACACUGCUGCAUUCAACCACAGCUGCCGGUUUGCAGGAAGGUUUUUUUCCGUCACCACUGUGAGUAGAAUAAUAGAGUGAGCCAGGAAAAAAGGCUGCGUGGAGCUGGCUUGUAGAGUGGGGAAACAUCCUCUGGCUGUUGCAGAAGCAGCAGCAACGGACUGCAGGAUAAAACCUGCAGAACAUUUCAUACACUUCAUAGAAAACAAGGAUAGGUGAUCCUGUCAUACACUGUGGUCAAAUUGAUUUUCCCCUUCUCUCCCAAGGUCACUUAGGUGCUUGUGCAAAUUAUGGAAGAGAUCAUUUGAACUGAUAGCAAUGAGAUCAGCCUUUAGGUUGAGGCUGCGUGGAAGGACUGGUUGGGACAUAUCUUUGCAGAGACAUCUUUCCAGUUUUGAAUGCAUACCCUGCGUUAAACGAGGGUCACAGUGCACAGCACUGAAAGGACUGUGGCUUGGUUCACGUUGCUGAGAAUGUGCUGGACUUCCAAAGAGAUAUUCACCAGCAGCAGUCCUGAGAGACACAUUAAUUCAGUGCACACCCCAGCAAGUUAUUCCCAUCAGCGUUAUCUCACAGGUCUCCUCACCACACAUUAAUAAGUAGCAUCUGUUAAUUAUCAAUCUUCUAAUAAUUCGCAACCUCUUUACCUAAUUCUUCCACUCAUACCCAGUUGCCUUGUUACCACCAUAAGCCCCCAGGUGUGGGGAGCUGACACUGUACAGUUCAGUGUUGCACUUGGCAGAAGUAAAACCAUGUUUUUGUUCUCCCUUGGGUAUCUCCAGGUCACCUUCCAGCAAAGCAGUUGCAUGGCUUAUUCCUGGGUCUCUAUACCAGUGCAUAGGAUGGAUGGAUGUCAGCUUGUAAACAAGCAUCAUUUUUAUUUUAGCAACAGUUAGUUUUCAUUAGCAGAGGCAGAAUAUGUUUUUUUAGGUGUCUGGCUUGUGUUUAGUUGGGUAGUUUUGCAAGCAUUAAGAGAGAGAUCUGUUAAUGCAAACCACUCUAUACAGAAGACUAACUGCGUGAAGUCUACAAAGAAAUAAACACAUCUAGAAACACCUGAAUGUGACAGGCUGUGUAUGUAAAGUGCAUCAAAGGUACUGUAAUUUGCAGAACCCCUCCUGCACAAUCUCUGAGAGGUUGAUGACAGCUUUGGGUCUGGAGCAGCAGUGAAGAAAGGCACCCGCUGCUGGUUCUGUUGCUCUGAGUAACAACCACGGUGGGAAGAGCCACGGGAUGGCCCACUUCAGCUCCAUCUGCUUAGACUGAAAUAUAAAGAAACGCCUAAAGCCAAUGUCUGGGCAACCACAAAGGGGCAGAAAAAGAAUUACUGUCUUAUUUAGACAAAAGUAGAAGCUGCCACCUUGCCUGGAUCCCUUUUGCUUAUUUGCAAAAAUAUAUUUUCCACGGUACUAUUUCAACCAUCAAAAAUUCAAGUGCCAAUUUUAAAAACUGAAUUCAUGGAUUGGUUUAAUGUGCUUUAUAGCUUUCUUGGAUUUGGGGUUCGCAUUUUCCAGCCUGCUUUUGUAGACAUUUAGUUUACUAAGAUCUGGCACCACAUCAGACUGUGUGUUUAUAUUCAUUUUUCUAGGAGACGUGGCAUUUAAAAUCCCAGAUUGUGGGAGACUUAUAAUGAAAUCGAGAAAAACAAUACUUUGUAGCAGACAUGGUAAAGGAGAGGGACAACUUUUCCUCCAUUUUAUUUGUUAGUUGCAAAGUUGAUCUUGCAUCAGAACUACCUGAAGGACAGCACAAUAACUUUGAAGAACAAUCCGCAAAAGACUUCUGCGUUUGUAAGCAACAGUAUUUGGAUGACGUUUGGUUUUGGCAAGCACUUCUGGUGCUUUAAAGACACUUCUUUAAAAAAUAAAUGGGCCUUAGGGCUUUCCACUUCAGCAGUUAAGUCAGGUGAAGGAGCCAAGGAGAAAAAAUAGUAAUGUGAAAAUUUAAAUAAAAAAAUAAUUCACAGCUGUUUGCGUGUAGAAACUCACAUUGGCGUAUUUUAAAUCAACAGGACCGUAGGCUUUGAGGUUAUCUACAAAUUAUCCUUUUACUCCCCUCAAUUAGAAAGUUCAUUUUGAGAAAAUCUUGUAAAAAGUUUAAGACAGGCCAACAAAAGGAUGCAAAUGGUUACCACCAUCAGCUCUUACAACAUUUACACUACCAGAGAUGGAUAAGUUAAUUACCUGAGGCCUACACCUGAGCCUUUUUUUUUUUUUUUUUGCAGUAACAGCAGUGAUCUCCUCUACCAGUUCUGUAACACACCUGCACAGGACAGAAAUUCCUUAAGCUCUGGCCUCAGGGCCUACAUUACCGUACAGUACAAGUCCUCGACAAACAGAGCAAAAGACUGAGCAAAACAUGGUUAAGCCCCGAAAACUUCGUUUCCUCUCUUUCCUUCAUACUUAUCACACCAUACCUCUCUCAUCUUUCCAAGCUUGUUAUGAACGGAGAGCUCAUUUCAACCAUCAAUCAUAUCCUGCAGAAGAGUCAAUUUGGAUUUAUUCUAUUGCUGGACUCCCCAGCUCUGAGAGCUAUAUAGGGUUAUUAAAAAAAAAAAAAAAAAAAAGAGUAACUCAUAAAGUAUGAACAAAUCUCAUAUUACGUAAUCAGAUAGAAAUCUGGGAAAGAUACUGUGUAGGCAAAAACUGAUAAGCAGCAACAUAGAAUCAUAGAACGGCUUAGGUUGGAGGGGACUUUGAAGAUCAUCCAGUUCCAAUGCCUGCUGUCAGCAGGGCUGCCCCUGCCAGCUCAGCUGCCCAGGGCCAGGCGUUGGAACAAGGCGAUCUUCAAGGUCACUUCCAACCCAAGCCAUCCCAUGAUUCUAUGAAAACGACAGGAGUGAUCCACUAAGGUCUCCUGCAUUGUACCUAAGCAAUGAAUUACUUCUAGACCUCUCUAUGCUAGUUAUUGAGGAUAAUCCAUAACUUCCAGAUGCACGUCUCUAAAUUGUAAUGCUUAACAGCGUAUCUAGUCUUGAAUGGGGUACUCAUUUUGUAGCACCUGUACUUUAAAAAUCUCCUGCAAUACAGGCAAUUUUGGGUUCCAGUCUCAGAGAGCUGCUAUUCCAGAAGGUUCUCUUAAUUUGGAAGAACUGUCAGAGUAUCCUUCUUUGUGUAAGCAAGCAGGGAGAUGUUACAAAGCCACGUGGGAGACCAGGAGACCCCAUCCUUACAACAGUACUCAUUGUCACAUACAAAGGAAGGACGUGGUCAGGAGUUGGGCUGAUCUGUGAUAGAUCUUCACCAGUGGAUUUUGGUGAGGGAACAGCAGUACAUCAGAUUUCUCUAAUGGCAGCUCUGUCACUUAUGGGAGCAAGCUGCCAGCUUUCUGCUUUUAUCAGGGAAAAAGAUAGUUGCCAAGAAAUGUGUCCUCCACUUGAUAGGAAAGAAGCCAGCUAGAUACAUUUUCCUUAUAGCAGAAAUUUCAAGAAAGAUAUAUUUAAAAAAAAAAAAAAAA
ensembl:lncRNA